AUUGAACGCUGGCGGCAGGCCUAACACAUGCAAGUCGAGCGGAUGAAGGGAGCUUGCUCCUGGAUUCAGCGGCGGACGGGUGAGUAAUGCCUAGGAAUCUGCCUGGUAGUGGGGGAUAACGUCCGGAAACGGGCGCUAAUACCGCAUACGUCCUGAGGGAGCAAGUGGGGGAUCUUCGGACCUCACGCUAUCAGAUGAGCCUAGGUCGGAUUAGCUAGUUGGUGGGGUAAAGGCCUACCAAGGCGACGAUCCGUAACUGGUCUGAGAGGAUGAUCAGUCACACUAGAACUGGGACACGGUCCAGACUCCUACGGGAGGCAGCAGUGGGGAAUAUUAGACAGUGGGCGAAAACCUGAUCCAGCCAUGCCGCGUGUGUGAAGAAGGUCUUCGGAUUGUAAAGCACUUUAAGUUGGGAGGAAGGGCAGUAAGUUAAUACCUUGCUGUUUUGACGUUACCAACAGAAUAAGCACCGGCUAACUUCGUG
rnacentral:rRNA from 1 species